rnacentral:rRNA from 1 species
GAUGAACGCUGGCGGCGUGCCUAAUACAUGCAAGUCGAACGAGGUGCUUUUGUAGCAAUACGAGAGUAUCCUAGUGGCGAACGGGUGAGUAACGCGUUGGUGACCUGCCCCAAAGUGUGGGAUAACAGUCCGAAAGGAUUGCUAAUACCGCAUGUGGCCAUCGGGUUUAGAAACCGAUGUCUAAAGCAGCAAUGCGCUUUGGGAGGGACCUGCGUCCCAUCAGCUAGUUGGCGAGGUAACGGCUCACCAAGGCGACGACGGGUAGGGGGCCUGAGAGGGUGGCCCCCCACAAUGGAACUGAAACACGGUCCAUACACCUACGGGUGGCAGCAGUAGGGAAUAUUGCACAAUGGGCGAAAGCCUGAUGCAGCAACGCCGCGUGAGCGAUGAAGGCCUUCGGGUCGUAAAGCUCUUUUCUGGGAGAUGAGAAAGGACAGUAUCCCAGGAAUAAGUCUCGGCUAACUACGUGCCAGCCGCCGCAGUAAAAC